rnacentral:rRNA from 1 species
GAUGAACGCUGGCGGCGUGCCUAAUACAUGCAAGUCGAGCGAACAGACGAGGAGCUUGCUCCUCUGACGUUAGCGGCGGACGGGUGAGUAACACGUGGAUAACCUACCUAUAAGACUGGGAUAACUUCGGGAAACCGGAGCUAAUACCGGAUAAUAUAUUGAACCGCAUGGUUCAAUAGUGAAAGACGGUUUUGCUGUCACUUAUAGAUGGAUCCGCGCCGCAUUAGCUAGUUGGUAAGGUAACGGCUUACCAAGGCAACGAUGCGUAGCCGACCUGAGAGGGUGAUCGGCCACCCUGGAAAUGAGACACGGGCCAGACCCCCAAGGGAGGCAGGAGUAGGGAAACUUUCGCCAUGGGGGAAAGCCUGACGGGGCAACGCCCCGUGAGUGAUUAAAGGCUUUGGAUUGGAAAACCCUGUUAUUAGGGAAGAAAAAAUGUGUAAGGUACCUAUCCAGUUCUGAACGUAACCAAUCAGAAAGCCAACGCUAACCUCCUG